rnacentral:lncRNA from 1 species
CCAAAACUCCGCCGGGGAAAAUACACUGGCUUCAUCUUUAUGUGUGCACCAGGGGCCACGGGACAUCUGAUGGGAUCAGAUAACAGAAGAAGUUUCAAAAUUAAGACCUUCAGGACUGUGUUGAGAAAUAAAACGCCUCCAAGGAAAUUGCAAACAUCACAGACACGAUGACUGAUGCUGCUGUGGACCCAACCGACAGAGGGUCUGUCCUCCCCAGUUAAACCCAUUUCAUAUUUCAUAUAUAUAUAUAUAUAUGAAAUAUUUGCCACGUUAUAUGUGUUUUCUAACAAGUGCACUACGUAGAAGGGAACAUCUUUGCAGCCGCAAGAUUAUCUUCAAAUCAUGUGCAAUAUAAUGAGACUGAACAAAGCCAGGAAAAAGGAGGAGGGGAGGUGGAAAUAAUUUGGACAUUAGUUCAGUCUUUUUUUUUUUAUUAAAAAAAAAAAUAAUCUCUUGUAAGAUUAAGCAACCAGGAAGGAAACGUUAACCAGAGCUGCUAAUAAGCGAUCCAAGUGUUUUGCUUGGGGUGGGAGGGAGAUGGGGGAAAUUCAGUUGCUCUCGCUGUUCCCUGUCGAAGGCCAGGGGCUGUUUUUGGCACUGGGACGUGAAUAAUUUCUGUUCCAUUUUUCUGACAUUCAUGUAAAUGCUCUUUAUAAGUAGGUAUGUGCUAUACCAAAGGCUGUGAUUUAUUUUAAGUCCUUAUUAAGAAAGUAACAUCUCCACCGAUGCUGAGGAAAAGGGUGUCAAACAAUCAACAAGUUGUGCCUUGCUUUCAGGAUCACUUCAUGAAAAACUAAGGAAAAAUCAAAUUUCCAGGGGUGGAAAAGGUAUAAAAACCCAAUCCUGACUGGGCAUGCCCCUGCUUCAUUUCACAAGAGCCCAUGCGACCUUCUCUGCUGUUCCAUGGUACUUCAGUCCUGAGGGAAUAUUAUAGUAUUGUCGUGCUAAUACUAUAAUAAACGGGAAGUUCCUCACUCCUUUGCCCAUUGCUGUUUCAUUUUGCAUGCUGAGGGUUUUUUUUUGUGGCAGUUUAAGAGCUGUGGGUUGCCUGCGCUUGCCUGUCAAGCUGUUAAAACUGGGGUUUCUGUAACCUCACUGCAUCUCCUAGGGCCGUAUGGGUAAAUAAUUAUCCUAGUGAUGGGAUA